AGUGAACGCUGGCGGUAGGCCUAACACAUGCAAGUCGAACGGCAGCACAGUAAGAGCUUGCUCUUACGGGUGGCGAGUGGCGGACGGGUGAGGAAUACAUCGGAAUCUACUUUUUCGUGGGGGAUAACGUAGGGAAACUUACGCUAAUACCGCAUACGACCUACGGGUGAAAGCAGGGGAUCUUCGGACCUUGCGCGAUUGAAUGAGUCGAUGUCGGAUUAGCUAGUUGGCGGGGUAAAGGCCCACCAAGGCGACGAUCCGUAGCUGGUCUGAGAGGAUGAUCAGCCACACUGGAACUGAGACACGGUCCAGACUCCUACGGGAGGCAGCAGUGGGGAAUAUUGGACAAUGGGCGCAAGCCUGAUCCAGCCAUACCGCGUGGGUGAAGAAGGCCUUCGGGUUGUAAAGCCCUUUUGUUGGGAAAGAAAAGCAGCAGGUUAAUACCCCGCUGUUCUGACGGUACCCGAAGAAUAAGCACCGGCUAACUUCGUG
rnacentral:rRNA from 1 species